CCGGACGAGAACCCUUCGCCAGUC
rnacentral:miRNA from 16 species